rnacentral:rRNA from 1 species
GUGGGGAAUUUUGGACAAUGGGCGCAAGCCUGAUCCAGCCAUGCCGCGUGCAGGAUGAAGGCCUUCGGGUUGUAAACUGCUUUUGUACGGAACGAAAAGGUGCCUUCUAAUAAAGGGCGCUCAUGACGGUACCGUAAGAAUAAGCACCGGCUAACUACGUGCCAGCAGCCGCGGUAAUACGUAGGGUGCGAGCGUUAAUCGGAAUUACUGGGCGUAAAGCGUGCGCAGGCGGUUUUGUAAGACAGAGGUGAAAUCUCCGGGCUCAACCUGGGAACUGCCUUUGUGACUGCAAGGCUGGAGUGCGGCAGAGGGGGAUGGAAUUCCGCGUGUAGCAGUGAAAUGCGUAGAUAUGCGGAGGAACACCGAUGGCGAAGGCAAUCCCCUGGGCCUGCACUGACGCUCAUGCACGAAAGCGUGGGGAGCAAACA